rnacentral:rRNA from 1 species
AUCUUGAAAAUUAAAAAAUUUGGCGGUAUUUUAGUCUUUUCAGAGGAACCUGUUCUAUAAUUGAUAAUCCACGAUUUUAUUUACUUAAUUUUAAUUUACAUAUCGUUGUAGAUUGAAUAUUUUUAAAAAAAUAAAAUAUUCAAGAUUUUAUAUAUAUAAGUAAAUCAGAUCAAGGUGUAGUUUAUAGUUAAGAAGAAAUGGGUUACAAUAAAUUUAUUUAAAUGAAUUAGUUAAUUAAAUUAAUUAUGAAAGUGGAUUUGAAAGUAAUUUUAUUUAAAUUUUUAAAAUGAUUAAAGCUCUAAAAUAUGCACAUAUCGCCCGUCGCUUUCAUUAUAAAAUGGAAUAAGUCGUAACAGAGUAGAAGUACUGGAAAGUGUUUCUAGAAAGAUCAAAUUAGAGCUUAAAGAAAGUAUUUUAGUUACAUUAAAAAGUUUAUUGUAAAUUCAAUAUAAUUUGAGUUUAAGUUAUUAUUAAUUAAUAAAAAUUUAUUUUUUAUAUAAAAUAAGAAUAUUUAAGUWUCRUUAAUAUUUAUGAAAAAAUAAUUUUAAUUAUAGUAAAAUAGUAUUGUGAAAGAAUUAGUAAAAAUUUUAUAAAGAAAAAUUCAUUUUUUGUACCUGGGUAUCAGGGUUGAUUAAAAUAAUUUUAAAAAUUUAAAUUUCUCGAAUUAAUAAGAUUUAUUUUUAUAUAUUUAUUUUUGUUGAAUAAAAAUUAUUAAUAUAAAAAUAGAAAUGAAACGUUAUUCGUUUAUUAAUAUAUCUAGUUAUUUAAGAAAAAAGUUUAAUUUUCUUAUUAGUUAAAAUUUAGUUCAAUAGUUAAUUAAAUUUUAUUAAUAAGUUAUAAUUAAAGGGAUUAGCUUUUAAUUAAAAAUUUUUAAUAAAAUAAUAUAUUAAUUAUAAAGUAGGAUUAUAAGUUUUUAUCUAUAAAAUUGUGUUGUAACUUUUUAAUUUUAAAAUAGGAUUUUUAUUUUAUUAGAGUAUUUUAUUAAAUAAUAAAUUUAAAUAAAAAAAAUUUAGUAAUUAUGAUUAAAUUAGUAUAAUAAAAAGUUUAAAUUUAGUUAUUUAAAAGGUAAUAUAAAGGAAUUCGGCAAAUAUAUUUUUUACCUGUUUAUUAAAAACAUGGCCUUUUGAUUAUAAUUUAAGGUCUAGCCUGCCCAAUGAAUAAUUUAAUGGCCGCGGUAUUUUGACCGUGCUAAGGUAGCAUAAUCAAUAGUUUUUUAAUUGAAAGCUGGAAUGAAAGGUUUGAUAAAAAAAUAACUGUCUCUGUAUUAAUCAUAUUGAAUUUUAUUUUUAAGUUAAAAAGCUUAAAUAUAGUUAAAAGACGAGAAGACCCUAUAGAGUUUUAUUAAGGUUAUUUAUUUAUAAUUAAGAAUUUAU